AUUGAACGCUGGCGGCAGGCCUAACACAUGCAAGUCGAGCGGAGCUGCGGACGGGUAAGUAAUGCCUAGGAAUCUGCAUGUAAGUAGGGUAUAACGCCCGGAAACGGGCGCUAAUACCGCAUACUAUCAGAUGAGCCUCGGUCGGAUUAGCUAGUUGGUGGGGUAAUGGCCUACAAAGGCGACGAUCCGUAACUGGUCUGAGAGGAUGAACAGUCACACUGGAACUGAGACACGGGCCAGACUCCUACGGGAGGCAGCAGUGGGGAAUAUUGGACAAUGGGCGAAAGCCUGAUCCAGCCAUGCCGCGUGUUUGAAGAAGGUCUUCGGAUUGUAAAGCACUUUAAGUUGGGAGGCGUUACCUACAGAAUACGCACCGGCUAACUUCGUGCCAGCAGCCGCGGUAAUAC
rnacentral:rRNA from 1 species